GACGAACGCUGGCGGCGUGCUUAACACAUGCAAGUCGAACGGAAAGGCCCCUUUGGGGGUCCUCGAGUGGCGCACGGGUGAGUAACACGUGAGUAACCUGCCCUUGACUUCGGGAUAACUUCAGGAAACUGGGGCUAAUACCGGAUAGGAAUCCUUGCUGCAUGGUGGGGGUUGGAAAGCUUCGGCGGUUUUGGAUGGACUCGCGGCUUAUCAGCUUGUUGGUGGGGUAGUGGCUUACCAAGGCUUUGACGGGUAGCCGGCCUGAGAGGGCGACCGGCCACAUUGGGACUGAGAUACGGCCCAGACGCCUACGGGAGGCAGCAGUGGGGAAUAUUGCACAAUGGGCGGAAGCCUGAUGCAGCAACGCCGCGGGCGGGAUGACGGCCUUCGGGUUGUAAACCGCGUUCAGCAGGGGCGAAGCUUGUGGUGACGGUACCUGCAGAAGAAGCACCGGCUAACUACGUG
rnacentral:rRNA from 1 species